UUUACUACAUGCAAAUGUAUGUUCUAGCUCUAAUUUAAAUUCCUUCCUGUGAUAUAGGAGCUACCAUCUCUCUCACUGAAGGUUAAUCUCUGAACAUAAGGGGGUGUAGCCUAAGAGAUGACAGUGUUGAGUCUUCUCUACCUGUUGACAGCCCUUCCUGGUAUCCUGUCUGAUGUGCAGCUUCAGGAGUCGGGACCUAGCCUGAUGAAACCCUCUCAGUCACUGUCCCUCACAUGUUCUGUCACUGGCUUCUCCAUAACCACUACUAAUUAUUACUGGAACUGGAUCCGGCAGACUCCAGGAAACAAAUUGGAGUGGAUGGGAUACAUAGGCUACAGUGGUAGCACUUACUACAACCCAUCUCUCCAGAGUCGCAUCUCUGUCACUAGAGACACAUCCAAGAACCAGUUCUUCCUGCAGUUGAACUCUGUGACUACUGAGGACACUGCCACAUAUUACUGUGCAAGGUACAAGUGUCGAGUCUUCAUUGCAGGCCCAGACAUAAUCCUCCUUGUAGUGCAGUUCAGCACCAACAGAGGGCAUGCAGCAUCCAUCAAGCAUAGGAAGUCUAUUUUUUAG